rnacentral:rRNA from 1 species
UACGUAGGGUGCGAGCGUUAAUCGGAAUUACUGGGCGUAAAGCGUGCGCAGGCGGUUCGCUAAGACCGAUGUGAAAUCCCCGGGCUUAACCUGGGAACUGCAUUGGUGACUGGCGGGCUAGAGUAUGGCAGAGGGGGGUAGAAUUCCGCGUGUAGCAGUGAAAUGCGUAGAGAUGUGGAGGAAUACCGAUGGCGAAGGCAGCCCCCUGGGCCAAUACUGACGCUCAUGCACGAAAGCGUGGGGAGCAAACAGG